ACACACAUCUGAAGAUUUAUUUUUAGCAUUAUCGAAUCUCUGAGCGAAAACACUUGCAACUUUCCUCAGACACAUACACACACACACACUGUAGGAUAAAUAUUAACCCUGUUUUCCUUUUUCACCACCCUUCAUCUCUGAUUGAGACA